rnacentral:lncRNA from 1 species
AGAAGUAUCUUCCAGACAUGAGCAAGUGCACAUUGCUCAUGAAAAGAUAAGAAAGGAAGAUGUGAAACCUUCUGUACCUAAGGUAGUAAUUACCACUGAUAAACCUAAACCACCGGUCAUAAUAUCGAAAAGUAAAGAAGGAAUUGCUACCAAACAAGAACAAGUGAGCAUAACCCAUGAAAAGAUUAAAAAGGAAGCUAAGAAAACUACUGUAGUUCCGAAAAUAAUUGCCACUGAUAAAACCAGUGCACCAGUCACAGUGUCCAGAACUAGAGAAGAA